GCCGAAAUAGCUCAAUUGGUAGAGCAACUGACUUGUAAUCAGUAGGUUGUGGGUUCGAUUCCUAUUUUCGGCACCA
rnacentral:tRNA from 2 species